rnacentral:lncRNA from 1 species
UGAAUAUGUGUAUUGAAAGUCAAUGGCGCCAGUGUGAUGAAUACAAAAUGUUUCGUUGAAGAGUGUCAACAGCGUCAGUGUGGUGAAUAAGAAAUGUUUCGUGCGGUACAAGAAUUUGUGGAAGUAAGAAGAGCUUUCACUUGAGGGGGAGUAUUAUGGACUCACACUUGAGAGGGACCCACCUAUCACCUUAAGAUUUUAGGUGAAUAUGUGGUGUGGCUCUCACAAAGGUGUUGCUCUAAAAAAAGGAAGUCUCACAAAGUUCAAUGCUCCCUAGUGAAAAAC